rnacentral:lncRNA from 10 species
CUCUCUUCCGCGCUUCGCUGAGGGACUCACUCGCGCAUCACCCGCGGCUGCCGGUCGAGUGUCCCAGGCGCUCCGGGGCCGCGGUGACCCUCGCGGUGCGGACCGAGGAGGAAGCGCCGUGGGGGGCGGGGCGGCGCCGCACGAUCCGGCCUUCAGCUUCACGGACGUGGGCUGAGAACCCGCCCGCGCCGCGCUGAGCAGGGCCGAGGGAGCCGGCCAGGGCCCCAGAGGAGUCCGGAACGGAUUCCCGUCGCUACCGAGGUCUGCGCGUGUAAGGAGAGGACGUCGGAGAUUUGCCUCGAGGGGUGGGGUAUAGAUGACUGGAGAGGUCAGGCGCGGGUUGGUCAUCGCUGAGGCUGGGUGAUGGGUGGCCGGAUUCGUUAUACUGUUUUCUCCACUUUUCUGUAUGUUUGAUAUUUUUCAUAAUAAAGUUUGUAAAAGUAAAAACGGGGGUUGGGGGUCGGCGGUGAGAAUAGCCAUUUAAUCUUCCUAAAUGGAUUCUGCCCUCAAAGGAUUGACGCUCUUUUCUCUGUCACUCUCCAAUAAUGAUUAGAAUAAUAAGUUGUAUUUUGAGGAGCUGUUUUCUGGUCCCGGGGAGACCCUUGGUGAACUCAGCAGUACCAUCAGCAUGUAUCCCACGAUGGAGCUCAGUUCAGCCAACUGUUGUCCAGGUGGCUUCUGGAUUUGGGGGAUUAUCUAUGGAUCAAGUUUAAUCUCAGGCUGUCUGCCCCCACCGGUCCCCAGGGGCUUCAGGCCUCCCACCCCUAUUCCUGGGGAAGCAGACACAAUUCACCCAUUCAGCAAGCAUUUAUUGAGGGUCAGCCGUGUGCCAGGGCUUUGCUAGCUGCGGGGACACAUGGAUGGAAACAGGUUUCUGCCCCCAAGCUCACUGCCAACCAUUUUAUUGUUAGCCUGGCUGGGACUGCUUGAUGGAAAACAGUCUGCCCGCACUAGACAAGGGCUUGUUGACAACUGACAUAAGGGAAUGAGGUUUUCAGAAGGAAGCAGAGAUCAAAUUUUGAAAUCAGAUGCAAUCAAAUCAGACACCAGGACAGCCAGCAUUGCCUCUGGGUCACAGAUGCAUCCACCCAAAGGCGCUGUCCUCGCCUUGCCAGUGGGGUCUUGGUGAAGACGUGAUGCGGGGGCCUUCUUUCUUUUUGUGGUUAUCUGUGCCAGCCUUCCCUGCAGGCUGCUCUUCCUCUAGCACGUUCUGUUUCUGUUACCGGCUCUUUCCACCCCCGGCAUCUCCGCCUAGAGCCACACACAUACGCGGAGCACCCACGUGGGCCAGGCUUUGUUUUGGGGCUGGCGGCACCAACGUGAGUAAGACUUAUACUCAGCCCCAGCUGCCCCCAGCCCAGAGGGAAGGGGAAGGCCUGUAGUCCGUGGGGAAGAGCGCCCAGUAGGGGUGUGGCAGGGUGGGGCGUGGGCUGGAGAAGGCCUCCCGAGGAGAGGAGAGCUGAGGCCAACUCCGAGGAAUGAAUUGUAAGCCAGGCUGCGAAGCAGGAGGGGAGAUUCCAGGCAGAGGAAACUGCUUGGGGUAAAGAAAACAAAAAACGCAACCCCCCCAGCAUGGUGCGUACUGGAGGUAUGUGGGAGACUAAGGCCCUUCUGGUAUUUAUUAGCAGAUUAAGCAGGGUCAGGCAACAGAGGGCCUUGUGCUGUUUUGAGUCAUUUGGGUCUUAGUCUUUGGCCGGGCAGUCCCCAACGAGGGAUCUUACUCAGUGACAAGAUCCGGAUAGCAUUUGGGAACAUCGCUGAGGCGGCUCUGUGCGGGAUCGGUGCUUUAUUUGAGAGUGGUGGUGGGGUCCGGAGUCUGGGGGAUGGAUGGGAGGAUUUCAUGGGUAAUCUAGACAUGAGCUGAUAUGGACUUGCCAGAACUUGGCAGUGACAGCAGCUAUGGGGAGGCCAUAGGAAUGGGAGCACAUUGAGGAAGUGAGAUGCUGGGAGGGGUGAGAUGGGGAGAGAGAACUGGAGAGGGACACCAAAGAUUUUUUUGUUUCCGGAUUUUUUUUUUUUAGAUAGGUUCUCGGGCCGGGCGCGGUGGCUCACGCCUGUAAUCCUAGCACUUUGGGAGGCGGAGGCAGGCGGAUCACCUGAGGUCGGGAGUUCGAGACCAGCCUGACCAACAUGGAGAAACCCCGUCUCUACUAACAAUACAAAAAAAUUAGCCGAGCAUGGUGGCGCAUGCCUAUAAUCUCAGCUACUUGGGAGGCUGAGGCAGGAGAAUCGCUUGAACCUGGGAGGCGGAGGUUGCAGUGAGCCGAGAUCGCGCCAUUGCACUCCAGCCUGGGCAACAAAAGCGAAACUCGGUCUCAAAAAAAAAAAGCUUGUUCUCACUAUGUCGGCCAGGGUGGGCUCAAACUCCUGGCCUCAAGUAAUCCUCCCACCUCAGCCUCCUAAAGUGCUGGGAUUGAGCCACCACACCCGGUUAGCAUUUUUCUUUUCUUUUUCUUUUUUUAGGACAGAGUCUCGCUCUGUCGCCCAGGCGGGAGUGCAGUGGCGUGAUCUCGGCUCCCAGGUUCAAGCAAUUCUUCUGCCUCAACCUCCUGAGUAGCUGGGAUUGCAGGCACACACCACUACGCCCAGCUAAUUUUUGUAUUUUUAGUAGAGACGGGGUUUCACCAUGUUGAUCAGGCUGGUCUCGAACUCCUGACCUUGUGCUCCGCCCACCUUGGCCUCCCAAAGUGCUGGGAUUACAGGUAUGACCCAUGAGCCACUACCCCUGGCCAACACCAUAGUUUUUAACCUUUAGAUAGGGACUCUACAGGAGCAGGUCUGGGGUGAGGGUAGCAGGAAAAGGAGGAGUGGGUGAAGUUUAUUCAUAUUAAUAAGCUAGAGUUGGUCACACCAAGGAAGGUGCCCAGAAAGCAGAAGGGUGGCAUGGCACCCGGUGUAGGAGGGUCAUCUGUCAGCUGGAUUGCUUCCUCACAUCCCAUAUCCAACAGAUUACUAAGUCCUGGGACCCUGCUUCCCAGAGCUCUCAUCUGACUCAUCCUGUCUUGUCCCAUGGCCAAGGCCAGCUUUGCAGGUAUGUGACCUGUGCAGCCAAACGGGGCCCCGUACUUAGAAGGGACCCCCACUUGUUUUAAUGCUCUGUUGUUACUAAAUUGUUAAUAAUUUUGUGCAAGAGACCCUGCAUUUUCCUUUCCCACUGGACCCCACAAACUCUGUAGGUGGUCCUGCCUAUCGCUGUAGUUAAAGGGCCCCAUUAUCCCCCAUCCCCACUGGACCCUACAUUAGCAUCCUGUAUCCCAGUCUCAAAGCCCCCUCCUUGCUCUCUCAUCCUCUGCAGUGUGGUCUUAAGCUUACGUCUAAGCACAGAGCCCACCUCCUCUGCUCAAAAAUUUUCAAUGCCACCUACGCACUGUCUUGAUAAAAUCCAAAUUCCUUAGUGAACACUAAGGUCCUCGGUCUGGCCAAUUGGCCACAACCCACCUCUAACGUUUCUCACCUUCCUUCUCAUCACCCCUCCGCACACCGCCCCCAUUCUUUGUAAAGCAAUCCUUCUCCACCUUCAUACAGCUCUGGAGCUACUGUCGCACAUUCAGGAUGCCACCACUUAAUCCCCCAGCCUGUUAGCCGUCACCCUCCUAGGGGUUCUCACUUCCCUUCCCCACUAGCCUGGUCCGUGAGUGUUAUCUGUCCUGCCAUUAACCUGCAGUCUCCCAGGCUAGACUUAGGGGCCUUAUCCGACCAUCUGUGUCUCCUUCACAACACCCUCACAUGGUGAGGGCUGAAUCAGUGUUGGUGGAAUGGAAUUCAGUGCUUGCUGAGACAUGAGAGUGGCCAGCUUUUUAGGAGGCACCUGGGGAGAAAGUUGGUAACAGCACAAAUCAGGGCCCUAGACACUGGAUAAAAGGCGAAACAGAAAACUGGAGGUGCACAGUCCAUAGAUUCAGGACCUGGAGUCCAUCGGCCACAGGUCUAGGAGGAAGAGGAGAGUGUCUGAGACUGGAAGGGCUUAAUGGAGCAACUAAUCUCUUGCCUGUGUCCCAAAUACUUUGGAAUGAGUGUGAGAAUUGGCUCAGGGAAAAAAGCAAAAUCUAAAUUAAUAUUGUGAGUCCAUGAGGCAGGACCUUGUCCUAUUCAUUAAUCUUGCCCCUCAACAGUUAUUUUCAGAGGGGCAAGAAGUGUUUCAGGGUUCUUGGCCCUUGUUUGACCAGUCGUCCUAACCCUCAUGUCUUGGGUCAUUGUUGUUAUAAUCUGGGGUUACCUUUUGGAAGGUCAUGGGGUACCCUUUUGCAAAAGUUAUGGGCCCUCUCCUUGGAAACUGCACACACACCAUGCAGCUUACAAUUCAGGGAGUUCACAGGUCUACAGAAUCCUGGAAACUCUCAUGUCCGGUUCUACUCAUUGUAGCUUCAGUGGAACCUUCUAGCAGUCCUUUCCAGCUCCUCCCCAGCUCCUCAGCUCUGCUUCCCUCCGCCCAUCAAGCCCUCCUCAGCCCAUAAGGUGGGCCAGGUGGCCUGUGGGGAUAAAUCAGAGUGCCCACAAGUGCAGGGGCCCAAAGACAUCCCAGAGCAAACCCAAGAAUCCCUCUACAAGCCCCAGCCCACUCAGAAGGAUGCAUUUUGCCCCCUCUGUUUAUUUGUUUGUUUUUAAUUAUGAAAGUAGGGCAUGGUCAUUGUUGAAAAUGUGAGAAAUGCAGAGAAGUUAAAAUGAUGCUUUUUGUUUAGGGCGCUGCUGCUUCUGGCUUAAGAUCCUAAAUCAAAGCAGCUGCCAGAUCUGGACCUAAGACUUGCUUCCCAUCACCUUACAUAAAAGAAAGAGCACUGGACUAGGAAUCAAAGAUCUGAAUUCCCAUCAAAUCUCUGCUAUUACUAGCUUUUAUCUCUAUUUAUUUAUUUAUCUGUCUAUCUAUCUAGUACCUUUUGUGAAUAUGAGUGUUUCUCACCGAGGCCCUCCCAUCUCUCUUGCCCCCGAUCCUGGAAUGGACCAAAUACCUUGUUUACUGAAGGAUACAGAUGGCAUGUGACUGUUGAGAAUCACUCACCCUCUUAGAGCCAUGGUUUCCUCUUCUAUAAAAUAGGGAUGUUCGUGCCUAUUUGCUAAUCAUGAGUGACAAUGACAUAAGGUACAUAAAGCUGUACUGCAUGAUGCAAACAUAACAUCAUAUUUGUAGGGUUGUUGCUAAUAAUACUAUCCAUCAGCAAAGCAGUCAUUCAUUUACUCAGUCAAAUACUGAUGCACUGGUACAUUCAGUUUCCUCUUUUGUAAAAUGGGGAUAAAAAUAGGACUUAGCUCAUAGGGUAUUUAAGAUUCAGUGAGUUAAUAUAUAUAAAAUACUUAGAGCAGUCCUUGGAACAUAUUAAGAACUCAAUACAUAUUAGCUAGUUGAGCAGGCUGUAGUAUUUGUUCCAGCCAAGAAAAGACUGUUCUCUAACAGCACAGGAAAUAAAGAUGGGGUUAGGCACGACACGGCAGCAGGACUUACCUUCUGUCUAAUUCAGCUGGCAGUCAAAGAAAGAAUUAUUAGAAGCCUAUGAGCUUGUUCUCCCAAAGAUCUACUGAGUACAGGGGGAUAUUUAAAGAAUAAAAAUCCCUAGACCCACUUACAGUACAGGAGAGACAAGAAGCUGUUCACACAAUAACAAGUGCUAAAUUCCUUGAUUUUUAUACUGACAGCUGAAGUUUUAGAGAAGAGAAGGAUCAAUAAAGACCGGAAUAUUAAAGCAGACAGGCCUAAAAGAGGAUUUUAGAUUUGAUAAAGAAUUCCUCCAGUUCUCAGAGCAGGGACUUUGGAGGGUAACAACUUGGAUUUCAGUCCUUGCCUGCCACUUACUGAUUGUAUGACCUUGGAAAAGUUACUUCACUUCUGUGAGCAAUGAUUCUCUCAUCUGGAAAACAAAACAAAACAAAAAAACUAACAAGGGUGAUAAUAAUACCUACCUCCCUACCUCAUAGGGCUGAUGAGAAGAUUAAAAAGUACCUACAUAAAGCCCUUCUCUGCGUGCCUGGAGCAUGGCAAGGGCUCCAUGUGAACCACUAUUUUUUUUUUUUUUUUUUAAUGAAAAGUCAUGGGCAGCACCAAAGCUCAGAAUUUUGGCAGUAAGGAAUUAUGAUUCUACAUUGAAAUUUGCCAGAAGGGGAGCUGACUGCCUCAUGAGACAUUUUUGAAUGAGGCCAAAAAAGGAAACAAGUGUAUCCUGGGAUUUUACGAGAUGCUAGGUAUGUCCUUAGCACUUAAUCCUCAUGACUACCCUAUGAUGUAAGUACUAUCUGUUGUCCCUAUUUUACAGUUGGCCAAGGUCACAUAGCUGAAACGGACUUCUGUGUGUCUUCUAACUUUUGCUUUCAGGUCUGGAAAAAUGCAAUGUAAACCUAGACCCUCUUUGAAAUACUGAAGAUGGUAAUCUUAUCCCUUCCUCACUUUCUGUUUUCUAAAAUAACAGUCCUUGUUCCUUACAAUGUCUGUUUUCCAGAUUCUUAGAAGACUUUUUGCUUAUUUUCCAUAACUCUUUACUUGUGAUCCCUGAAUGACACCGGGGGUAUAGCAGAGAAUGUCCAUUUCCUCAAAGUUCAAAGGUCCUACAAAAAAUAGUUGCUAGCCUGGCAUGAUGGUGUGUGCCUGUAGCCUCAGCUACCUGGGAGGCUGAGGCAAGAGGAUUGCUUGAGCUGAGGAGUUUGAGGCUGCAGCGAGCCAUGAUCACGCCACUGCUCUCCAGCCUGGAUGACAAAGCAAGAUCACAUCUUAAAAUAAAAU